rnacentral:rRNA from 1 species
CGAACCCUUCGGGGUUAGUGGCGCACGGGUGCGUAACGCGUGGGAAUCUGCCCCUUGCUUCGGAAUAACAGUUAGAAAUGACUGCUAAUACCGGAUGAUGACUUCGGUCCAAAGAUUUAUCGGCAAGGGAUGAGCCCGCGUAGGAUUAGGUAGUUGGUGGGGUAAAGGCCUACCAAGCCGACGAUCCUUAGCUGGUCUGAGAGGAUGAUCAGCCACACUGGGACUGAGACACGGCCCAGACUCCUACGGGAGGCAGCAGUGGGGAAUAUUGGACAAUGGGCGCAAGCCUGAUCCAGCAAUGCCGCGUGAGUGAUGAAGGCCUUCGGGUCGUAAAGCUCUUUUACCAGGGAUGAUAAUGACAGUACCUGGAGAAUAAGCUCCGGCUAACUCCGUGCCAGCAGCCGCGGUAAUACGGAGGGAGCUAGCGUUGUUCGGAAUUACUGGGCGUAAAGCGCACGUAGGCGGUUACUCAAGUCAGAGGUGAAAGCCCGGGGCUCAACCCCGGAACUGCCUUUGAAACUAGGUGACUGGAAUCUUGGAGAGGCGAGUGGAAUUCCGAGUGUNNNGGUGAAAUUCGUAGAUANUNGGAAGANNNNNANNGGCNNNNNCGACUCGCUGGANNNNUAUUGACGCUGAGGUGCGAAAGCGUGGGGAG